UGGUGAAUAACUUGGAAGGUGCUCAUGAGCUCAUUGAUACCAUAAUUUCAACCUCACUGAAAGAGAGAAAGCCUGUUUGUAUAAGCAUUAGUUGUGACUUGUCUAGGAUUCCUCACCCAAUUUCAGUCGUGAGCCUUUUCUUUUUCAUUGUCUCCCAAAUAGAGUAAUCAAUCGGGUUGAAGGCAGCAGUGGAGGCAACUGCAUAAUUCCUCAACUAGGGAGUGAAACCAGUGCUAAUGUGUGGUCCUAAAUUGAGGGUUAUGAGUUUUGUUUCAAUUGAUCGUUUAAUUGAGUAGUUUUGUUUCAAUUGGUUAUGAGUUUUAGAUGAAGAUGAUACUAGUGAUCGUGAAACAAUAACAUCAGAAUCCAAUGUGCAUCAAGAAGUUCAAAUUGAAGAUUAGAGAGAUUUUGAUGUUGCAGGUUCAGAAAAUAUGGAGUAAAAAUGGCUUGAAGUUUUUUGUGUGGAAGUUUUCUAGUGUGCAAGCUUUUGUGAUAUAGAUUGCUUCAUGUGGUAGAUGAUGCUAUCGGCAAGAGUAAGAUUUUAAGGAGCAUGUCACGAAGAAUAACUAGAAACAAAUGGAUCGUUUGAACUGUGAUUGGAGCUCUUGUUCUUGCUAUAGUUGUUAUUCUAUUUUACAAGCUAUCUCAUUAGCUAAUAAUAAUUUGCCCAAGAUACGAUAGGGUGCAAGCUAUCUUUUAUACUUGUAUGUGCUUGGUUGUUAUAUAGGAGCCAUUUGUGAUGUUUUUCAGUGAUACCUUGCUUUUUAUGCUCUCUUUUUUUUUUUUGAACUGAAAGAGCGUUUACUUGAUUCAAGUAUUUUGUUGAUGUAUACUUAUUUUAUGAUUCAAGUAAUUUUGUUAAUGUAUACUCAUUUUUUGACAAGAUGUUUUGCUACCAUUUUUUAUGAAUUCCAAAUCCUUGUGUUAAUGCAGAGUUGAAGCUGAUAAUAAAUGGUGAUCGUAAUAAUUGCAUUGAGAUGUUAUUGGACAGAAACGUUGGAGACUUGGAGUAUUAGUCAAAUACUAUGUACUUGUGUUAUUUUUGGUUUUUGGUUUUUAGAAUUAUGUGGAUCUGAACAAUAUUAAAAUGGUU